rnacentral:rRNA from 1 species
UACGGAGGGUGCGAGCGUUGUUCGGAAUCACUGGGCGUAAAGCGCGUGUAGGCGGCCUUUUAAGUCUGAUGUGAAAGCCCGGGGCUCACCCCCGGAAGUGCAUUGGAAACUGGGAGGCUAGAGUACCGGAGAGGAAGGUGGAAUUCCUGGUGUAGCGGUGAAAUGCGUAGAUAUCAGGAGGAACACCUGUGGUGUAGACAGCUUACUGGACCAUUUCUGACGCUGAGACACGAAAGCGUGGGUAGCAAACAGG